AUAUGUAGUUUGAUUAGUUUUUCCUCCAGAAAGAAUUGUACAGGUAUGUAUUGUUUUUGAAUUGCAUAGAGAAUUUACUUCUGAGUACCUAUAUGUAAUAUAAACAUUCAGAUAACUAUUACAUUUUUCUUAUGUCUCUUGUUUGUAGCAGAUAUAUUUCUUUUGGUUAUAUCACAUAGAACGGAUAAAUUUUUUUAUAUUGCAUGGUGAACUUUUUACUGAGUAUAUAUUAUGUGAUAUAACCAUAUAUAGGUUGGCCCAGUUCUUGUAGAGUAACUUGGUGUAUUCACUUUUAGGAUGAAAGCGUCAUAGUCACUUUAUAGAUCAAUAAAUUCACAAAAACAUAAGGAGGUUAUUGACAUCAGGUUGUUCAAAAUUAAAGAUUUUAUUGAUAAAUCUGGUAACUUGAACAACCUCGAUAUAACUUCCUUAUUAUGAAAUUACGACCCAUAUUCAUAUUAUGUUUUCAUCUUAAAAACUGAAAACUCUCACAAC